UCCCUGGUGGUCCAACGGUUAAGCCUCUGUUCUUCCGAUGCAGGGGACACAGGUUCGAUCCCUGACUGGGGAA
rnacentral:tRNA from 1 species